AACGCUGGCGGCGUGCUUAACACAUGCAAGUCGAGCGGAGAAUAGUAGCAAUAUAUUCUUAGCGGCGGACGGGUGAGUAACGCGUGGGUAACCUGCCUUUUACUGGGGGAUAACACUGGGAAACUAGUGCUAAUACCGCAUAAAAUAGUGAAGUGGCAUCACUUUACUAUCAAAGGAGCAAUCCGGUAAAAGAUGGACCCGCGUCCGAUUAGCUAGUUGGAGGGGUAACGGCCCACCAAGGCGACGAUCGGUAGCCGAACUGAGAGGUUGAUCGGCCACAUUGGGACUGAGACACGGCCCAGACUCCUACGGGAGGCAGCAGUGGGGAAUAUUUGCGCAAUGGGGGCAACCCUGACCCAGCGACGCCGCGUGGGGGAAGACGGCCUUCGGGUUGUAAACCUCUUUUGUACGGGAAGAAGGAAGUGACGGUACUGUACGAAUAAGUCCCGGCUAACUACGUGCCAGCCGCCGC
rnacentral:rRNA from 1 species